AGACAGAGAGCAACAGAAAGUCUCAUUUUUCGUUAGUUAAAAUAGAAAAUACAGCCACUUUAAAAUAUAGUUUAACAUAUUCUAAACAUAUGAUCUAGCAACCAUACUCCAAUGAGUUAAAAAUUUAUGUCCCCCUAAAGCCUGUAUGCAAAUGUCUGUAACUGUUUGCCAAAACUUGGAAAAAAACCAAGAUGUCCUUCAAUAGGUGAAGGAUAAAUGUGACUGUGAUAUAACCAUAAAAUGGAAUAUUAUUAUUCAGUGAUGAAAGGAAAUGAAUUAUUAUGACCCACACCUCACAAAACAGAGCUUUAACUGCAUAUCACUAAGUGAAAGAAGCCAAUCUGAAAAGUUCACUCUAUGAUUCUAACUAUCUGACAGUCUAGAAAAGGCAAAACUGUGAAUACAGUAAAAAGAUCUGUGGUUGCCAAGGGUCACAGGGAGAGAGAAAAAGAUGGGUGAAUAGGUGAACCACUGGGGAUUUUUAGGGGAGUGAAACCUACUAUAAAUGGCAGGUGCAUGAGAUUAAACACUUCUCAAAACCCACAAAAUAUACAGCACCUGAAUGUGAACUAUAGACCUAGUUAAUUAUAAUGCAUCCACAUUGGCUUUAUUAUAGAAUGUGCACUACACUAGUGCAAGAUGUUAACAGAGAAAAUGGAAAACAGAGUAAGAGGAUCUGGAAACUCCAAUUUCUGCUUAUUUUUCUGUAAAGCUAAAGCUGCUCUAUAACAUAGUAUUACAUAAAAUUUUAAUUAAGAGAAUUAUUAACUUUAUAAGGAACUUUUUGCAGUAAGAGAAAUAUCUAUACCUCGAUCAUGUUGGUAGUUAUGUAUGUGUAUACAUUCAUCAAAAUUCAUUUAUUUGUACACUUACACUUAAUACAU
rnacentral:lncRNA from 1 species